ACUCCACCAACAGCUGCCUUUGUUUCCUAUUAUUUUGAUAUUUUACGGAUGUGGCGUGUAUGUUUGUGUGUACGGUAAACAUAAUAGACUUUUAGCAGGGGAAAUAUAUUUGUUUCAAAAUCUAAGUCUUUACGAUUAGUACCAGAACAGCUGCUUUGAUAUAGGAAAACAUUUCCCUGAUUGCUGCUCACAUGGGACUCGGCAUUGACCAGGGAUCAGUCUCAGAAGGUCUGCCAUCAUCUCUUGAUUCUGUUGGACCGCUUUCUGCAACUGAUUCCAUACAUUUUCACAUCAGAUUUGUUUAAUUUCUGAAUGACUUCACAUGUCACAAAAGUCUUUUUACUUUGGAUCCCAUUUGACUUUUGCCCCUUUUCCACCGGCUCAGCUCGGGUUCAGUUCACUUUCAGAGCUUUUUUUCGGGGCUGGCCCUGCUUUUAGGACCUUCGAGCAGGUCCAGCCGGGCCGGUGUUCUGACUAUCAGUGCUACCUCGUCAGAUUUUCCUACCGUAGCACGGAUAGAUAGCUAAGUCUAUCUGUCGGUGCUUUUUAUUAGAAGUAAACACAGACAAAUAAAGAUCACCGCAACUCUGUUUUGCACAUUAAUACGUUGUAUGUCUGUUAUCAAAUGCAGCGCAGCCACAGCGUGUCCACCGAACUGCGCAUGUCACUGUGCUCCUGAAAUGAUAGGAUAUGCUUACACUAAUAACACACCUCUAUUACACAGCUUCAAUCUCACAUAGUAUCGCUACCAACGUCUAUUUAGCAAAGUUUAAUAAAAAAAAGAGUGUAAUUAAACUAAAAAUAUUUUAAAAUAUAGGGACAAAAUAACUCACAAAACAACGUAUUUUGUCCUGAUUAACCGCCAAACAACGACUUGUUUAUAGUAUUAACGACUUUGCAGACGUCAAACUAAAGUCAUUUAUAACUAUAUUAACUAAAAACAGGAAGUAAUACAGCAGUUUAACGAAAACCAUGUAUAAAAUAAAUUAAAUAAAGCUUACCAUAAUCUUCGAUGAAGUAAAAUACGAGAUACUUCCACAGGUAGGACGUAUUUAUAAGAGAUCUUUUUUAUUUAUUUUUUUUAUUUUAUUUUUUUAAUUAAAAAUCUGCUGUGUAAGCAGUAUAUGCCGUAGCGUCGAUGUGCGCAUGCGGAUUACCACAAGGUAGGACGGAUUUAUGGUUAGCACAGAUGAACAGAACACCUGUUCUGGUUUCGUGGGUGACGCAAGCUUCGCUCCUGCUCACUGAUUGGCUGUGGGCGUGGACAGACGGAGCAGCAAAGAGAGAAGAAAAACGAAGGCGCGACUUUUCCAACUGGCUACAACACGGAAGUGAUGGAAGAUACAAACAAGCCGUGAACUAAGAGAUUCUUUGCUUCGGAUUUCAAUAUUCAGCGGCAGCUCGAUGGAGCAGUGAGGAAUGAGUCGUUUUUGUUAAUGUAGUGGAGAGAAUGGAAAGUCUCGUUAGCCGCUUCGGAGCCCCACGCAGCCCCACGCAGCCCCACGGUGAACACCGACUCAGAUGCAGCUAAUGCCGCUGCUGAUCUCCAGCCAGGGAGCAGAAGAAGAGGAACAUGGUUGACAUGAUGGAGAACGAUGAGAACUGUCAGAACAACUGGAUCUCCUUCAGGGGAAGCAGCUACCAGCAGAGAUGGCAGCGCUCCAUGGAGAGGGUAGAGGCAAACAGAAGAAAAAUAAAAGCUGUUGUGUCUCAAUGAA